rnacentral:lncRNA from 1 species
UUAUCUCCCCCUGGGUCACUGCAAGCAAAACAGCUGCUAUGGAUCACUGUCUCACACAGAACAACGACGGGAGUAGGCAAAAGGAAUGCGGAGCUGUGAUGGAGACCGCUGUGCCGGGUGCCGUGAGACAAGCUGCAAGCAACUGCCAGUCAUGAGAAGCGUGCCUUGUGUACUUAGCAUGUUAUUUGUACCGCUCUAUAUAAGCGGCUGGGUGCAGUUAUUACACGGCUUGGCUGCUAGAAACCACAACGGUGUGUGGCCUCGUCCACGCCGCGCCUUGGCUGAAUAUUGCUCUCCAGAGGACUCUGAACAGUCACUCGGUGACAAGUGGUGCCCAAACGGGGACUUUGGAGUAAGAACCAUCAGAAAAGGACCUUGGAGUAAGAGGGAGACGAGGCAGCGGUCGCAGAUGGAUGGCACCGGACAAGCAACAGUGCUAAAGGGGAGCAAGUGUCUCCUAAAGGCCCGUCGGAGCUGGUAAAAUGGGCUCGAUGACUUGAAUACCUCAUGGAGGUGGCACUGAUGUUCGGUGCUUCAGAAUGGCGUGAUAUAGGAGAUCAUACGUGGGACUGUGUGAUAUCUGGGGGGAAGGACGAGGAGUUGCUGAAGCCUCUGGGACCGGUGUGGCGUGCUGCUGCCAACACCUUGAAGGCCAUACGAGCCCCCGCUGUACGGCCACCCGCAGCCUCCCCUGGCCCGAGCCCGGACCGCGCCACAGCCGCCUCCACCCGGUGCUCUCCAUGGCAGUGCAGGGCUUCCAGGGCUACACUGAGAAGCACUGCCCUACACCGUGAUGCCCAUCGAGCUGCAGAAGCUGGCGUGGGGCAGCCUGUUGGGGGGGGGGGGGGGGCCUCAGCAGACCCCGCUGUGCCUCAUCGAUGCCAACAGCUCUCUGCCCCGGCUCUACAGCGGCUUCUACACAGUCUGGGAUGCUCCACUGAACUGAUUGCUGGAUGAAAUGUCUCGCUGCCUUGGGAUCCCCAGGAACCGUAACUUAUGGGGUCGCAGGCGAUAGGGAACACGUCACAGAAUUGGACCCAGACCUGCUUUGUAUUCAGUAAUACCCAGCAGGGCCUAAAUCCUUAUAAAGGGCUGAAUUGGACCUCUUGCACUACUGUAUCUAGCCGUGGCAAAUUUACUUACGGGAUGCUUGUGAUUACUGUGGCACCAAUACAUCAAGAAGACAGGUUUGGCUGCCUAUGGCGCAGCUGCAAAUGGUAACAACUCGACUAUAUGGUGCAAUGGCUCUGCGAAGGCAUUGCCUCCGGACAUCUUUUUGGUCUGUGGAGACAGAGCGUGGCAGGGCAUCCCCAGCCAGGAGACAGGUGGACCCCAUUCCUUAGGAAAAUCAACUCUGUUUGCUCCUACCUUUGAGCAGCUUUGAAACAUUACUCUCUAACCGCUCUGAUCGCAUGAAGCGUGCUCUGCUAACCCCUGAAUGUGAGCAUCCCACGGAGCUUUUCUCGCUUGCUGCAAGGGUUGCACUCUCCUUUCUCAAACAGCUUCUGCUUGACCAGAACAGCUUACGGCAUGCCUUGCUACAGAAUCGCACUGCCAUAGAUAUUCUGUUAUUAGCUCAAGGUCGCGGGGUGGCUGAGUGGCCUCGUCAAGGAGGGCCUUCGUCUCCUGAUGUUGCUGGCGGUGGGAAUCCUCAUAGUUUGCUCUGUUACUGCUGUUGUUAAGAAAAUGCUCUCAAAGGUUACCUCGGCUGUUUUGUUUGUGCAAGAAAAGAGCGGGGGAAGUGUGGAUGGACGGCUGACCCAGGGAG